UACGUAGGGUGCGAGCGUUAAUCGGAAUUACUGGGCGUAAAGCGUGCGCAGGCGGUCUGUUAAGACCGAUGCGAAAUCCCCGGGCUUAACCUGGGAACUGCAUUGGUGACUGGCAGGCUUUGAGUGUGGCAGAGGGAGGUAGAAUUCCACGUGUAGCAGUGAAAUGCGUAGAGAUGUGGAGGAAUACCGAUGGCGAAGGCAGCCUCCUGGGCCAACACUGACGCUCAUGCACGAAAGCGUGGGGAGCAAACAGG
rnacentral:rRNA from 1 species